UUGCAAUGAUGACCUUUUAGGACACCUUUAGAUGAACCAUGAAAAGAAAGAAUCAGUCUGAGCAGU
rnacentral:snoRNA from 1 species